rnacentral:rRNA from 1 species
GGAGGGUGCGAGCGUUAAUCGGAAUUACUGGGCGUAAAGAGCACGUAGGCGGCUUGGUCAGUCGGAUGUGAAAGCCCCGGGCUUAACCUGGGAAUUGCACUCGAUACUGCCAGGCUAGAGUUUAAUAGAGGAAUGCGGAAUUCCGGGUGUAGCGGUGAAAUGCGUAGAUAUCCGGAGGAACAUCAGUGGCGAAGGCGGCAUUCUGGGUUAAAACUGACGCUGAGGUGCGAAAGCGUGGGGAGCAAACAGGGAUUAGAUACCCUGGUAGUCCACGCCGUAAACGAUGUCAACUAGCCCGUUGGGAUUUUCUUAGUGGCGCAGCUAACGCGAUAAGUUGACCGCCUGGGGAGUACGCCGGCAACGGUA